AAGCUGGUCUCAAUGAGUUCUAGCAUUGUAAUGGGAACAAUUUAAAUCAUUUAUCGAGGAUCUAUUGGAGGGCAAGUCUGGUGCCAGCAGCCGCGGUAAUUCCAGCUCCAAUAGCGUAUAUUAAAGUUGUUGCGGUUAAUAAGCUCGUAGUUGGAUCUAGGAUUAGGGCUACGGUCGUUCAGCUUGGACGUACUGUAUGCCCCACUCCUUUUCUCUAGUAUUCGAUUGUUGCUCUUAAAUGAGUGACUUUAGUUGCUGGAACUUUUACCUUGAAAAAAAUUGAAGUGCUCAAAGCAGGUUUUUGCCUGAACAUUGCUGCCUGGGGAAAAUUGAAUAGGAAUUUUGGUCCUAUUUUUGUUGGUUUCGGGGAAACGAAAAAAUGGAUUAAAAGGGAAAAAACGGGGGCAUUCGUAUUUGCUGCGUUAGAAGGGGAAAUUCUUGG
rnacentral:rRNA from 1 species